ACGAACGCUGGCGGCGUGCUUAACACAUGCAAGUCGAACGGAAAGGCCCUGCUUUUGUGGGGUGCUCGAGUGGCGAACGGGUGAGUAACACGUGAGUAACCUGCCCUUGACUUUGGGAUAACUUCAGGAAACUGGGGCUAAUACCGGAUAGGAGCUCCUGCUGCAUGGUGGGGGUUGGAAAGUUUCGGCGGUAGGGGAUGGACUCGCGGCUUAUCAGCUUGUUGGUGGGGUAGUGGCUUACCAAGGCUUUGACGGGUAGCCGGCCUGAGAGGGUGACCGGCCACAUUGGGACUGAGAUACGGCCCAGACUCCUACGGGAGGCAGCAGUGGGGAAUAUUGCACAAUGGGCGGAAGCCUGAUGCAGCAACGCCGCGUGCGGGAUGACGGCCUUCGGGUUGUAAACCGCUUUCGCCUGUGACGAAGCGUGAGUGACGGUAAUGGGUAAAGAAGCACCGGCUAACUACGUG
rnacentral:rRNA from 1 species